rnacentral:pre_miRNA from 1 species
CUAAUACUCCCUCCGUCCCAAAAUUCUUGUCUUAGAUUUGUCUAGAUACGGAUGUAUCUAAUACUAAAACGUAACUAGAUACAUCCGUAUCUAGACAAAUCUAAGACAAGAAUUUUGGGACGGAGGGAGUAUGAC